rnacentral:rRNA from 1 species
AAUGCCUAGGAAUCUGCCUGGUAGUGGGGGAUAACGUUCGGAAACGGACGCUAAUACCGCAUACGUCCUACGGGAGAAAGCAGGGGACCUUCGGGCCUUGCGCUAUCAGAUGAGCCUAGGUCGGAUUAGCUAGUUGGUGAGGUAAUGGCUCACCAAGGCGACGAUCCGUAACUGGUCUGAGAGGAUGAUCAGUCACACUGGAACUGAGACACGGUCCAGACUCCUACGGGAGGCAGCAGUGGGGAAUAUUGGACAAUGGGCGAAAGCCUGAUCCAGCCAUGCCGCGUGUGUGAAGAAGGUCUUCGGAUUGUAAAGCACUUUAAGUUGGGAGGAAGGGUUGUAGAUUAAUACUCUGCAAUUUUGACGUUACCGACAGAAUAAGCACCGGCUAACUCUGUGCCAGCAGCCGCGGUAAUACAGAGGGUGCAAGCGUUAAUCGGAAUUACUGGGCGUAAAGCGCGCGUAGGUGGUUUGUUAAGUUGGAUGUGAAAUCCCCGGGCUCAACCUGGGAACUGCAUUCAAAACUGACUGACUAGAGUAUGGUAGAGGGUGGUGGAAUUUCCUGUGUAGCGGUGAAAUGCGUAGAUAUAGGAAGG